rnacentral:lncRNA from 1 species
GGCAAUUCCUCAAUUUUGGAAUGUGGUGCUUUCCACGAUUACCGUAUUCCUGUCUGAAAUCCUGACACAAGAAAACUGCAGCCAGCCUCUCCCCAAAGAAGCACCUGAACAGACAGCACGUCUCUGUCACUCUCACCUGGUCUUAUGGUCCAUUAGGUAAGUCUGGGAUUUUAACCCUUAUUAAAAUAUAGUGAAUGAAGAGUAGCCACUGCUACAUCUUAUAGGCUAGAUUGGGGAUUAGCAGAAAA